UGACCGCUGGCGGCGUGCCUAAUACAUGCACGUCGAGCGAACAGACGAGGAGCUUGCUCCUCUGCCGUUAGCGGCGGACGGGUGAGUAACACGUGGAUAACCUACCUAUAAGACUGGGAUAACUUCGGGAAACCGGAGCUAAUACCGGAUAAUAUAUUGAACCGCAUGGUUCACUAGUGAAAGACGGUUUUGCUGUCACUUAUAGAUGGAUCCGCGCCGCAUUAGCUAGUUGGUAAGGUAACGGCUUACCAAGGCAACGAUGCGUAGCCGACCUGAGAGGGUGAUCGGCCACACUGGAACUGAGACACGGUCCAGACUCCUACGGGAGGCAGCAGUAGGGAAUCUUCCGCAAUGGGCGAAAGCCUGACGGAGCAACGCCGCGUGAGUGAUGAAGGUCUUCGGAUCGUAAAACUCUGUUAUUAGGGAAGAACAAAUGUGUAAGUAACUAUGCACGUCUUGACGGUACCUAAUCAGAAAGCCACGGCUAACUACGUG
rnacentral:rRNA from 1 species